rnacentral:misc_RNA from 1 species
AACGCACAUUGCGCCCGCUGGUAUUCCAGCGGGCAUGCCCGUUCGAGCGUCAUUUUAAUCCCUUCCCGGGAGACUCUUCUAUUUCUGUAGUGGAGUCUGCGGGGCGUUGGCACUAGGCGCCUCAUUUUGAGGCGGCUGGAGCCGAAAUGAAGCGGCGGACUCGCGGCGGCCCCUAGCGCAGUAGAACAACCCUUCUCGCUUAGGAGAGCUGCAGCGGCGGACCACAGCCCUAUUACAUAUAAAACCAAAAACUUGACCUCGGAUCGGGUAGGACUACCCGCUGAACUUAA